GCCAGGUGUGGUGGUGCACACCUGUAAUCCCAGCUACUUGGGAGGCUGAGGCAGGAGAAUCGCUUGAACUUAGGAGGCAGAGGUUGCAGUGAGCUGAGAUUGUGCCAUUGCACUCCAGCCUGGGUGACAGGGCGAGACUCUGUCUCAA
rnacentral:SRP_RNA from 1 species